UGCUAAAGGUCUUGAUGGAGCAUGACUA
rnacentral:piRNA from 1 species